UACGGAGGAUCCGAGCGUUAUCCGGAUUCACUGGGUUUAAAGGGUGCGUAGGCGGACAUUUAAGUCCGUGGUGAAAUCUCUGGGCUUAACCCAGAAACUGCCAUGGAUACUAUUUGUCUUGAAUGUUGUGGAGGUUAGCGGAAUAUGUCAUGUAGCGGUGAAAUGCAUAGAUAUGACAUAGAACACCGAUUGCGAAGGCAGCUGGCUACACAAAUAUUGACGCUGAGGCACGAAAGCGUGGGGAUCAAACAGG
rnacentral:rRNA from 1 species